CUGCCUUUGGUGUAGAAGAUAGCGUACGGGGUCGGCUUUCGAUCCCUCUCCCGCGUUCAGCCAUGGCCGCGGCGUGUUGCUCCUCCUCCUUCACCCGUCCUUUCUCCGUCGCUUGCUCCUCCUCCUCACCAGCAGAGAAAGAGACCUCCAAGCUGAGGGACGACUGGCGGAAGCGCUCCAAACCCAUUCGUCCCGGCGGCGUGUACCCCGCGAAAGACCACUGCAGCCGUUGCGGGCUCUGCGAUACCUACUACAUUGCCCAUGUGAAGGAUGCGUGUGCGUUCUUAGGCGACGGCAUGUCCAGGAUUGAGGUUUUGGAACCAACAGUACAUGGACGAGCCAGAACAGUGGAAUUUGAUGAGAUCUACUUUGGUGUUCAUGAGCAAUUAUUGUAUGCUAAGAAGAUAAAACCUGUAGAAGGAGCUCAAUGGACGGGGAUUGUGACAACAAUUGCUGUAGAAAUGCUUAAAGCAAAUAUGGUAGAUGCUGUCAUUUGUGUGCAAAGUGAUCCAGACGACAGGCUUACUCCGAGGCCAAUUUUAGCCAGGACCCCUGAUGAAGUUUAUGCAGCAAAAGGUGUCAAGCCGACAUUAUCUCCUAACCUUGAUACCCUUGCCCUAGUGGAGGCUGCAGGAGUAAAACGCCUUCUUUUCUGUGGAGUAGGUUGUCAAGUGCAAGCAUUAAGAUCUGUUGAAAAAUACCUUAGCUUGGACAAGCUUUAUGUUCUUGGCACCAAUUGUGUGGAUAAUGGAACUCGGGAAGGCCUAGAAAAAUUCCUCAAUGCAGCAAGUAGUGAGCCAGAGACAGUCCUGCAUUAUGAAUUCAUGCAAGAUUACAAGGUUCACCUAAAGCAUUUGGAUGGCCAUAUUGAAGAGGUGCCUUACUUUUCCCUGCCAGCAAAUGAACUGGUCGAUGUUAUUGCACCGUCCUGCUACAGCUGCUUUGACUACACAAAUGCAUUAGCGGACUUAGUGGUGGGCUAUAUGGGUGUGCCAAAGUAUGCCGGAAUAAGCAUGACUGAACAUCCACAAUAUAUUACUGUUAGGAAUGAACGUGGAAGGGAGAUGCUAAAACUGGUGGAGAAACUUUUAGAGAUUACUCCAACAACAAGCAGUGGUAACCGAAAACCAUUUGUUAUGGAGACAGUUAAAGCUGAUGACAAAGCAAAAUCUGGGAAAGGUCCUGAGCCAGCUCCCAAAUUCAUUGGAAAUAUCAUAACAUUUAUGCUCAACUUGAUUGGCCCAAAAGGUUUGGAAUUUGGUCGCUACUCGUUGGAUUACCACACAAUAAGGAACUACUUGUAUGUUCAUCGACAGUGGGGAAAACAAAGCAGAGCUGAAAGGCACAUUCCCUCAUACGCCAAGAAAAUUGUUGAAAGCUAUAAUGAUGAUGGACAAAUUUAUGAGAUGCUUUCACAAGAUUGAUCCCAUGGAUGAGCCGACCUAGCACUUGGGCAGGGUGAGAGGGCUUGAGUAGGAAAGAGCUACCCGUGGAUGGAGUCGAGAACUCAUCACGGCGUGGAGCCACCAUUGAGUUAAACCUCACAUGCACUAUGCUAGGGUCAGCUUGUCACUAUUUGAGAUGUUUGAAUUGGGCUGAGGCAGUGGAGAGCUAUUCAGAAUUAUAGGCAACUCUUGUUGGUUAUUAUGUUAUUGUUGUAUAAGCAUAUUUUGUAUCUAAUGAAAUGUUGUCGAUGAACCAAAAUGGAUAUACCUUGUAAAAGUGUUAGACGAUCUCUCUUAUUUGGAAUUUCGAAAUGUCAAGUCUAAUUUACGACGA